AAACACGCGUGCGCGCGGCAGACGGGCGGGCGGGCGCGCUUGCUGUCUCAGCCGCCGGCGCCGGGCGCAGUCCGCCUUUUUUCCGGAGCAACCCGGCCAGGGUGCUAAUCGAUAGCAACAGCCGCCACCGCAGCAGUCCGUACUGGGGGACCGAGGGCUUUGGAAAAAGGCGGGGUUGACGGCUCUUUACUAGGAGUGGGCUGGACCGGACGCCAGAGACAAAGGCUCUCAAGACAAGAGGGACUGUGGCCCUGCGACGGCGCUGCUCGGGAUUUUUGACCCCAGGACUUUUCGCCCCUUCGUUUUUCUCUUCUGACGCUUCUCUCAUCUUAAGCCCGCGUCCCCUCACCCACGACCUCGCUUCUCACCGGGAGGGCCGCGAUGGAGGUCCCGCCCCGGCUUUCCCAUGUGCCGCCGCCAUUGUUCCCCUCCGCUCCCGCUACUUUAGCCUCCCGCAGCCUUUCCCAUUGGCGGCCGCGGGCGCCGCGGCAGCUCGCCCCGCUCCUCCCUUCGCUCGCUUCCAGCUCCGCCCGGCAGGGGGCGCGCCGGGCCCAGCGCCACGUCACCGCCCAGCAGCCCUCCCGAUUGGCGGGCGGGGCGGCUAUAAAGGGAGGGCGCAGGCGGCGCCCGGAUCUCUUCCGCCGCCAUUUUAAAUCCAGCUCCAUACAACGCUCCGCCGCCGCUGCUGCCGCGACCCGGACUGCGCGCCAGCACCCCACGGCCGACAACUCCGCCACCAUGGAGGACAUGAACGAGUACAGCAACAUAGAGGAAUUCGCAGAGGGAUCCAAGAUCAACGCGAGCAAGAAUCAGCAGGAUGACGGUAAAAUGUUUAUUGGAGGCUUGAGCUGGGAUACGAGCAAGAAAGAUCUGACUGAAUAUUUGUCUCGAUUUGGGGAAGUUGUAGACUGUACAAUAAAAACAGAUCCAGUGACUGGAAGAUCAAGAGGAUUUGGAUUUGUGCUUUUCAAAGAUGCUGCUAGUGUUGAUAAGGUCUUGGAACUGAAAGAACACAAAUUGGAUGGCAAAUUGAUAGACCCCAAAAGGGCCAAAGCUUUAAAAGGGAAAGAACCCCCCAAAAAGGUUUUUGUGGGUGGAUUGAGCCCAGAUACUUCUGAAGAACAAAUUAAAGAAUAUUUUGGAGCCUUUGGAGAGAUUGAAAAUAUUGAACUCCCCAUGGAUACAAAAACAAAUGAAAGAAGAGGAUUUUGUUUUAUUACAUAUACAGACGAAGAGCCAGUAAAGAAAUUGUUAGAAAGCAGAUAUCAUCAAAUUGGUUCUGGGAAGUGUGAAAUCAAAGUUGCACAACCCAAAGAGGUAUACAGGCAGCAACAGCAACAACAAAAAGGAGGAAGAGGUGCUGCAGCUGGUGGACGAGGUGGUACUAGGGGUCGUGGACGAGGUCAGGGCCAAAACUGGAACCAAGGAUUUAAUAACUAUUAUGAUCAAGGAUAUGGAAAUUACAAUAGUGCCUAUGGUGGUGAUCAAAACUAUAGUGGCUAUGGCGGCUAUGAUUAUACUGGGUAUAACUAUGGGAACUAUGGAUAUGGACAGGGAUAUGCAGACUACAGUGGGCAACAGAGCACUUACGGCAAGGCGUCUCGAGGGGGUGGCAAUCACCAAAACAAUUACCAGCCAUACUAAAGGAGGAUGUUGGAGAAAACAGCGGGAACUUCAUUGCAGGCCGUGUGUCACCCUGACCACGUCUAUCUCUGGGGGUCGCACGUUGCGGGCAGAGCGCAAGGCAUACACCAGAAAACGCUGUCCUGUGGAGGAGAUUGCUAAAGUUAACCCAUCUUGCAGGACGACAUUGAAGAUUGGUCUUCUGUUGAUCUAAGAUGAUUAUUUUGUAAAAGACUUUCUAGUGUACAAGACACAACUGUCCAACUGUAUAUAGCCGCCAAUUAGUUUUCUUUGUUUUUACUUUGUCUUUUGCUAUCUGUGUUAUGACUCGAUGUGGAUUUGUGUUUAUACAAAUUUUAUUUGUAUGAUUCCAUGUUAAACCUCAAAUAAAUGCUUCCUUAUGUGAUUGUUUUUCUGCGUCAGGUACUAAAUAGCUCUGUAAAAGUGUAAUUUAAAAUAAGCAAUAAUUAAGGCACAGUUUAUUUUGUAGGGAGUAUUGGUCCAUAGGGAGAAACUGUGGUCCUUUAUGAAUAGCCAGCUACAGUGUCCCCCUGUUCCCCAUUUUUGUUAGAUGUAUAAUAUCUAAGGCUUCAUUUCCCUGCUAAAUGAGGUUUCUGUCACACCUUUAACAUUUCUGUAUAUCUGGAGACCUUGUCAUAGGGUUGUCAUUAGUGGAAGCUUUCUAGCAGACCAUGAAUCUUCUGGACUAUGUCUUGGGAAAGUGCACCUUUCUGGCACAAAGCAUGUUGGUAGCUCCUUUCAUGAAUAGAAAAGACUGUGCUUUGUUCCUGUCUCUGGGAAGCCAUUUAUUAAAGAUAGGCUAAAUCAGAAUCAGUGGUCUGCUAGAAAGAGCUCUGGCUAAUAAUACCACGACUUUGUUUUCUUGAUUAAAAUGUCCAGAUAUACCCAGGGAAAAGGUCCUGUUAAACUGUAUAGGAGCUACAGUUGAAAAAAGUUAAAUUUUAACAAACAUUUUGGCAGAUGGGUAUGAGGUUAAAAUUUGAGCAAAAGUUAAGAUUGAGGGAUUUGAAGUAGUGGCUGAGGGGAUUAGUUGUAUUUUGCUAGUAUUGUCACAGCAAGCACCAAACAACAAAAUGUUUUCUAUUGGGGCAUUUUUAGGAAGCUAUAUUGGGUGUUAACUGUUAACGUGAUGUGAGUUCUUAGAAAAGGUCAUGGUAGUAGAUUUCAUCAUUUUUAAUGCAUUAGUGCAUGAGCUAGGUAGGUAAGCAUACCCAGAUUCGGACAUAGGAAGGAGGAGUAGGGAAAAGUAUACUUUAAAUUUUAUGUAUGUCAGUGCGAAUCUAAGUGACUAAGUCAUUAAAACAUCUUCCUGGUGCAUCAAAAAGCAGUUUUAGCUCUAGAGUUGGGAGAAUUUCCUGGGUAAACCCAAGUUUUGAAUUUUACAUUCAGUGUAAUUGGAUUUAAGGUUUUUAAGUUUUUCUGUGGUUCCACAUUAGCCUCUAGGAUUGGCAUACAUGUUCACAGGCGAAGUAGUUGACUUCACCUUCAAACAAAUGUAAAUUUUUUUAUGCCGAUGAACCUGCCUUUUGUUUAUUUGGUGCCUGCAACUUUGUUCAAUGAUGUUUGUACUUGCUGGCUAUCAAGUUACAAUGCACUUGGCCUCCUUUUGCUCCUGUUUUGCUAUUUGACCUUAAACCUAGGCCAAGUACCAAUGUUGGUUAUUGCAAGGGACUGUUCAUUAUUUCAACAUGCAACCUUAGGGAACAAGGGAGAUUUUCAUUUUAAGUUGUUGUCAAAAUCUGUAGGCGCAGUGUCUUUAAGGCAGUGAAUCCUGUUCAAAUUUAUGAUUAGGUGAGAAGUUGACAUUGAGAUUGUCCUUUCCCUGAUCAAAAAUGAAUAAAGGCUUUUUAAACAAAAUCCAAACUUUUCAGUCAAGUCUUGAUAUAUAUGACUUUGAAGAAAUACACUACAUCUAGAGAUUAUUGUCUGAGAUUUAUGAAGAACUGAAAGAAUGCGUUUGGGUUUUUUUCCCCCAAAGGGCUUUGGACUUUAAAUUCAGAUUUUAGGCUCUAUGAAUGCCAACUGAUGUAAAUUUUAAAUAUAGCAAGGCUAAGCUGUAGGACUUCAUUUGGAUGAACGAUAGUUAUCAAGGUGUCAUCCUGAGCAUUUAGAACUAAGUAAUUUGACAAAUUAAUUGGAGGCGUGAGGGUGGAGAUUGAGGUCCUGUGUAUCUGAGCCUGUGUAUCUUGUUAAAUGUGUUUCCUGAAUGGUUUUGACCGAGUUCUGUGUGGUGUUACUCAUAAUAGAAACUUUUAUUCUGCAGUCUCAUAGUUACGUUUGUAAGAUUAAGACUAAGAUGUCUGUUGGGAUAAUAACGUGGAUAAACAGAGCUUUUCUUCCAUUCCCUGAUGGUGACAGGGACUGGAUUUUUGCUAAUUGUAAAUUUUAAUACUUAAUUUUUAAUAUCUGAAAAUUUAAUCACUACCCAUUACCAAGACUUUUUGAUAGGAUGUCAACCACAGGAUGCUAAGUUUCACUGAUUAAAAGUGAUUCAAGGACA